rnacentral:rRNA from 1 species
AUGCUUAGUACGGCGAGUGAGCGGCAAAAGCUCAAAUUUGAAAUCUGGUACCUUCGGUGCCCGAGUUGUAAUUUGGAGAGGGCAACUUUGGGGCCGUUCCUUGUCUAUGUUCCUUGGAACAGGACGUCAUAGAGGGUGAGAAUCCCGUGUGGCGAGGAGUGCGGUUCUUUGUAAAGUGCCUUCGAAGAGUCGAGUUGUUUGGGAAUGCAGCUCUAAGUGGGUGGUAAAUUCCAUCUAAAGCUAAAUAUUGGCGAGAGACCGAUAGCGAACAAGUACAGUGAUGGAAAGAUGAAAAGAACUUUGAAAAGAGAGUGAAAAAGUACGUGAAAUUGUUGAAAGGGAAGGGCAUUUGAUCAGACAUGGUGUUUUGUGCCCUCUGCUCCUUGUGGGUAGGGGAAUCUCGCAUUUCACUGGGCCAGCAUCAGUUUUGGUGGCAGGAUAAAUCCAUAGGAAUGUAGCUUGCCUCGGUAAGUAUUAUAGCCUGUGGGAAUACUGCCAGCUGGGACUGAGGACUGCGACGUAAGUCAAGGAUGCUGGCAUAAUGGUUAUAUGCCGCCCGUCUUGA